UACGAAGGGUGCAAGCGUUAAUCGGAAUUACUGGGCGUAAAGCGUGCGUAGGCGGUUUGUUAAGUCUGUUGUGAAAGCCCCGGGCUCAACCUGGGAAUGGCAAUGGAUACUGGCAGGCUAGAGUGUGUCAGAGGAUGGUGGAAUUCCCGGUGUAGCGGUGAAAUGCGUAGAGAUCGGGAGGAACAUCAGUGGCGAAGGCGGCCAUCUGGGACAACACUGACGCUGAGGAGCGAAAGCGUGGGGAGCGAACAGG
rnacentral:rRNA from 1 species